rnacentral:ncRNA from 2 species
CCCAAUCAUCAAGACGAAUCAAAUGAUUCACCAACCGAGAUUUAACAUUCCACGGUGGUUUACGAUGAGCUUAUUAACCUUAAGAUAAGAAAAUUAUGUUAGCCA